rnacentral:rRNA from 1 species
GUGUCAGCAGCCGCGGUAAUACGUAGGAUGCAAGCGUUGUCCGGAAUUAUUGGGCGUAAAGAGCUCGUAGGCGGUCUGUCGCGUCGGCUGUGAAAACCCGAGGCUCAACCUCGGGCCUGCAGUCGAUACGAGCAGACUAGAGUGUUGCAGGGGAGACUGGAAUUCCUGGUGUAGCGGUGAAAUGCGCAGAUAUCAGGAGGAACACCGGUGGCGAAGGCGGGUCUCUGGGCAACAACUGACGCUGAGGAGCGAAAGCGUGGGGAGCGAACAGGAUUAGAUACCCUGGUAGUCCACGCCGUAAACGUUGGGCGCUAGGUGUGGGGCUCAUUCCACGAGUUCCGUGCCGCAGCUAACGCAUUAAGCGCCCCGCCUGGGGAGUACGGCCGCAAGGCUAAAACUUAAAUGAAUUGGCGGGG